UAGAGUUUGAUCCUGGCUCAGGACGAACGCUGGCGGCGUGCCUAAUACAUGCAAGUCGAGCGGACAGAUGGGAGCUUGCUCCCUGAUGUUAGCGGCGGACGGGUGAGUAACACGUGGGUAACCUGCCUGUAAGACUGGGAUAACUCCGGGAAACCGGGGCUAAUACCGGAUGCUUGUUUGAACCGCAUGGUUCAGACAUAAAAGGUGGCUUCGGCUACCACUUACAGAUGGACCCGCGGCGCAUUAGCUAGUUGGUGAGGUAACGGCUCACCAAGGCGACGAUGCGUAGCCGACCUGAGAGGGUGAUCGGCCACACUGGGACUGAGACACGGCCCAGACUCCUACGGGAGGCAGCAGUAGGGAAUCUUCCGCAAUGGACGAAAGUCUGACGGAGCAACGCCGCGUGAGUGAUGAAGGUUUUCGGAUCGUAAAGCUCUGUUGUUAGGGAAGAACAAGUGCCGUUCAAAUAGGGCGGCACCUUGACGGUACCUAACCAGAAAGCCACGGCUAACUACGUGCCAGCAGCCGCGGUAAUACGUAGGUGGCAAGCGUUGUCCGGAAUUAUUGGGCGUAAAGGGCUCGCAGGCGGUUUCUUAAGUCUGAUGUGAAAGCCCCCGGCUCAACCGGGGAGGGUCAUUGGAAACUGGGGAACUUGAGUGCAGAAGAGGAGAGUGGAAUUCCACGUGUAGCGGUGAAAUGCGUAGAGAUGUGGAGGAACACCAGUGGCGAAGGCGACUCUCUGGUCUGUAACUGACGCUGAGGAGCGAAAGCGUGGGGAGCGAACAGGAUUAGAUACCCUGGUAGUCCACGCCGUAAACGAUGAGUGCUAAGUGUUAGGGGGUUUCCGCCCCUUAGUGCUGCAGCUAACGCAUUAAGCACUCCGCCUGGGGAGUACGGUCGCAAGACUGAAACUCAAAGGAAUUGACGGGGGC
rnacentral:rRNA from 1 species